rnacentral:misc_RNA from 1 species
GCCUGCAUUGCUCAUCGCUUCAUAGACCUGACCAGCCAUAGUUGUCCCAUUGCUGAUGACUGUAACAACACGCUCCCGUUUCCCUUUCAUAUCACGUGCAACUGCCAUCCCAAGCCCAGCAGAAAUACUAUUGCAUCCAUGCCCUGCCCCAAAUGGAUCAUAUUCGCUCUCAGACCGAGAUGUAAAGCCAGAAAGACCAUUCUUUUGUUUCAGUGUAUGCAUAAGGGACCGUCUUCCUGUGAGAAUUUUAUGCGCAUAUGUCUGUUCCCCAACAUCCCAUAGUAUCUUGUCCACUGGUGCAUGAAAAACAUGAUGA